rnacentral:lncRNA from 10 species
UGGUGCCGGCGUCCGCCACUGUCGGGACUUUGGCGCCGGGACCGGCGGGGUUAAGGCGCCGGCGCUGGAGGCGGCGAGUUCGCGACCUUCCGGGGCGGCGGACCACCCCGCACACGCGUCCUCAGCGCCGGACCCUGAGCCGGCCGCGAACACGGAUCCGACGUCAAGAACUGGGCACUUCCCGCUCCGUUUUGUCCGUGCCCCUCGGUGCUGGGACAGGCUAGAUGCUGACAGCUUGAUCUUGGACCUCAAGUUUUCCGAAUUGUGAUAAAUAGAUGUUUAUAAUAAAGCCACCCAGUCUGUGGUAUCUUGUUGUGAUAGCUGGACCUGACUAAUACACAGGGCAUGUGGCAAGUUUAAGGGGAAGAUGUCUUUCUGAAACAUUUGAAUCAAUCAGAAGUUCUUUUGGAACAACUAAGGAAAGAUGUCAGCUUGCUGCCUCAAAAUGCUGUUUGAUGACACUGGUUUAGAAAAUAGAAAACAGAUUUUUCUUUUCUCCGAAGAAAUAGAAAACUUUCCUCUGUACUCCAAGGGAUAUACAGGAAGAAUAGAAAUAUGAAUUUGAACUGUGACUAAGAGUCAGCAUGUACUUUCCCUUCUCUGGAAAAAGAAAAGAAAAAAGCUGGAGAAGUAAAGCUCAGAAGCACGGUUGGGUAUGGCUGAGUUAAGUAGACUACAUGAAAAAUAAACAGUCAACAAUCUUACAGAGAAAAUGAAUUUUGCUCUUUGAUGUAAGAAAAAGCCCACUCACCUUUAUUUUUAAAAUGUCCUGAGUUGAGGUAAACAAUAUCUAUUUUUGCUAUUAAAAAAUUCUAUUUCUGUCUGAUAUUUUUCCCAAUUGAUAGAAAUCAGAAGAACACUCCUAGAGAAAUUAACACUAAAAUGCAAAAGCACUGUAAUAGCUCCUCUUUGAUAUUAUGAAUUGACUUUAACCUGAUUUGCUCUCUAAAUUUCUUAGGUUAUUUCUGAAUUUUGUUUAUAGUUUAUUAGCAUGUUAAAUAUUUUUUGUGGUUUUGAUUUGCAUACAUAUACAAUAUUUUGGUUAUAUUAAAAAUAAAAUAACUGGUAUGUGUUUCCUACCUCCUGAUU